rnacentral:rRNA from 1 species
CGCAUCUGUGCAUGCAGCAUAUCAAUAAGCGGAGGAAAAGAAACUAACAAGGAUUCCCUCAGUAACGGCGAGUGAAGCGGGAAGAGCUCAAAUUUGAAAUCUUGAAAGGUCACCUUUCACGAAUUGUAGUUUAAAGAAGUGUUUUCUGUUACGAUCGUAAUAUAAGUUCUUUGGAAUAGGACAUCACAGAGGGUGAGAAUCCCGUCUAUGAUUGCGAUUUGUAGCUUUGUGAUACACUUUCAAAGAGUCGGGUUGUUUGGGAAUGCAGCCCAAAACGGGAGGUAAAUUUCUUCUAAGGCUAAAUAUUGGCGAGAGACCGAUAGCGAACAAGUACCGUGAGGGAAAGAUGAAAAGAACUUUGAAAAGAGAGUUAAAUAGUACGUGAAAUUGUCAAAAGGGAAGCGUUUAACACCAGUGUUGUUUUCUGAAAAUCAACCUCUGUUAGCUUUAUGCAUGUUUGUUUAGACCUAAUCAGCUAUCUUGCAUGUUCUAUUGUUUGCAGUGGUGCACUUUUCAGUUUACAGGUCAACAUCAGUUUUUUUUACCGUAAAAAAGUUAAAGAAAGGUAGCUCAUGGCUCCGGUCGUGAGUGUUAUAGUCUUUUUCCUAUGCGGUAGGAGAGACUGAGGUCUGCAGUGUAGGCUAUUUGGCUAGAUACUCAGGUGCUAUGUGAUACCAUUUCAUAAACAACUUGUUGAUUAUGUUUUGUCUAUUGCAUACUCGCUUGUACUAUCAUACCUACGCUUAGGAUGUUGACGAUCAGCUGAGCGCG